GGAAAUCUGACAGGAGAGAUGUCAGCAAUUCGGGCCAAACAGCCAAUGACCAAGGGAAAGCUGGGACAAAAGAGAGGCUCACACGGUGCCAAAGGAACAAAAGGGUAUUGGUCGACAAUAGAGGUGGAUGCAGUUGAAGAUUCCUUGAUGAAUUUUAUCCGAAUGGGAAAAACGCCUGGAAAACAAGACUGUGAGAAAUGCAUUGCUGCUUCUCCCCAAGCACUAGUAAACAGGGACUGGAGAGCG